rnacentral:sRNA from 1 species
ACGGAUUCGGAAUUCCUCCCAGGGCGACAGCAAUACGAGGCGACAGCGAGGCCCGACCGAGCGGUCGAUAUCAUAUACAGGCAACAUUCGACACAACAGCCAAUCGCCAAUAGCCAGCAGGCAGCAGGCAGCAGGCAGCACCUUACCCAGCCUUCGGUCGAGGUCAGGGUGAGACAGCACAGCAGGCCAAAAAAGGAGCGAGAAAAGGACAAUGCCACCGUGGCCCUAACCUCUGGAUCCCCACUCCCGCUACCGUUGUUCUUGACUCCCUUCCCAAACCACCACCACCCUUCGUCUGAGCAACCUUUUGGUUGAUAAGAAUAAAUCAAGAAGAGAUAAGAACGCUUGAUAGAACACUGGAUAAAAUCCACUCGCCUAGCGCUCUCGCCUACUCACUCUCACCCUCACCCUCUCACCAACUGGCAUCCAUCAAUCUCACGCAACUCCCCCUAACCUCUUACCACCUCCACCAUCAUGACUACACCGUUCUCCUAUCUAGACGCCAUGUCUCCUCCACCGUGUUCAGACCCCCUCCAGUUGACCGUCGCGCCCGCUGAGACUACGUUCUCCUUCGCCCAUCCUGUCACUGCAACAACAGUGCCGCUGGAUACCACCACUGUAACUACUACCACCGCUCCAACUACAACCACCACUGCUGCACCCGCUGCCACCGCUGCAGUCACUACCACCAUUGCCACCACCCUCCCUCCCAAACCAGAAGAGAAAAAGCCUGUCAAGAAGAGAAAGUCGUGGGGUCAGGAACUACCCAUCCCCAAGACGAAUCUUCCUCCAAGAAAACGAGCCAAGACCGAAGAUGAGAAGGAACAACGCCGUAUAGAACGCGUUCUCAGGAACCGGGCUGCGGCUCAGACUUCCCGAGAGCGGAAGAGACUCGAGGUCGAGAAACUCGAAGGCGAGAAGCUGGAGAUGGAACACCAGAAUGGAAUCCUCCUCCAACGCCUGGCCCAAAUGGAAGCUGAAAACAAACGUCUGAGCCAACAAGUCGCCCAGCUGUCCGCCGAAAUCCGCUCCUCCUCGUCGAGAGGCUCUUCCUCCAGAGGCUCCUCCCCACAAUCCAUCAUCUCCGGACUCACCUCUCCAAACCUCCUCCCGGCCAUGUUCAAACAAGAACGGGACGAAAUGGUCUCCCUGGACAACAUUCCAUUCCUCACCCCGCCCAUCUCCGCCUACUCUCCCAGCGUGAAGAGCUGCGAUCUCACCGAUUCCUCCGACCUGACACAACAUCCUGCAGCGAUGUUGUGUGACCUGCAGUGUCAGUCGGAGGCGUCGCUACCAUCGACCGCUCCUCAACUGCUGUGGCGCCCUCCCCAAGCCUCUCCAAGUCCCUCUUCAACCCCCGCUCCAAUCCCGCUGUCCCUGCCCCUCCCACCUCUCACCCAGCAGCUGCAACAGCAGCUCCUCUUGAAACUAGCCAUCCUCUCAAUCAUUCAACACCUCUUUCAGACGAUGACUUCCACCGCCUAUUCUACCCUUCUAAUCCCUUUGACCCGGAUCUUUCACUCAUUGAAACAGGGGUCCCCUUUGACCUUUUCCCCACUGGAGAUCCAGCAGCACUUGCCUUUGAUUCUCUGGUUGAUUUCGACCCCGACCCAGUUAACCUCGACGGCACCAACAACAACAACAAAAACAACAACAACAACAACAACGCCUCCACCUGCCCCUCCCCAACGAGCCUCGGACCUUCCGACAUCGGGCCGCCCAGUCUUUCGAAUCCGCCUUUUCACCCGCCUUCUAGCGUGCAGCCCAGCUUUGGCGCGUCCACUUCGCGAUGCGACGAGCAAGGCAUUGCAGCUUGUGGCUAGUGGUGCAGCGCUGGAUUUGGAUAGCCUGUUGGCGUCUCCGGUGUCCGGCAGCGUUCUGAUGGGUCGCGGUGAUGGCAGCGGUGGCCAAUUUGUUGAUAGUAGUAAUAGUAGUCGUUGUCGUCGUCGAGUAGUAGGCAAUGGGCUGUUGGCAAUGAUCCGGGCGAUUGACUGUAUCGAGCGGGCCAAGGCGCGGAAGCGAACGUGGAAGUUGACAACGAAAGGACAGUGGUUGGCUGCGGGGUUAGGGAAGGCUGUGGCGGCGGUGUCUGUGCGGAGGCGGAGGGCCCUCCAGAGCCGGACGCGGUUAUCUGGUGGUGGUGGUGGCCGUGCGUAGACUCCGAGUUUCAGGUGCCGGGCGGCAUUGGAAAAAGUUAUUUGUGGCGAUUUACAAAGUUCCUGGGUCUGGUUUAUGGGUCUGGUCUGAUUUGUAUUCCAAGAUCUCUCCUUUUUAAGUAGAGGAGGGUUUGAAAAGACGUGAUGAUCAUCUAUUAUUAUGAUUUUCGUUUGUGUUUUUUGAUUGUUUUUUCUGUCUGUCUGUCAAGCGGAUUCAGUUUACCUUUGGAAUUGUCUUUUCUGGAUUUUGAUUUUGAUUUGACAAAUUCAUCCAAUCAUUCCUCCUCCCUCCACUCUUUCUCUUGUACAAACAUUGUACCUACUUUUGAUCCGAUUUCCCUGCCACCAUCUAUAUAUAUAAAUUCAUGUCCCUUUCACUAUACAUAUAAAUAUAUUACAUGUAUAUACAUAACUAUAUAUAAAACAAAAGAACUCAACAUGCAAUG